AACGAACGCUGGCGGCAUGCCUAACACAUGCAAGUCGAACGAGACCUUCGGGUCUAGUGGCGCACGGGUGCGUAACGCGUGGGAAUCUGCCCUUGGGUUCGGAAUAACAGUUGGAAACGACUGCUAAUACCGGAUGAUGACGUAAGUCCAAAGAUUUAUCGCCCAAGGAUGAGCCCGCGUAGGAUUAGCUAGUUGGUGAGGUAAAGGCUCACCAAGGCGACGAUCCUUAGCUGGUCUGAGAGGAUGAUCAGCCACACUGGGACUGAGACACGGCCCAGACUCCUACGGGAGGCAGCAGUGGGGAAUAUUGGGCAAUGGGCGAAAGCCUGAUCCAGCAAUGCGGCGUGAGUGAUGAAGGCCUUAGGGUUGUAAAGCUCUUUUACCCGGGAUGAUAAUGACAGUACCGGGAGAAUAAGCACCGGCUAACUCCGUG
rnacentral:rRNA from 1 species